AUUGAACGCUGGCGGCAUGCCUUACACAUGCAAGUCGAACGGUAACAGGUCUUCGGAUGCUGACGAGUGGCGAACGGGUGAGUAAUACAUCGGAACGUGCCUAGUAGUGAGGGAUAACUACUCGAAAGAGUGGCUAAUACCGCAUGAGAUCUACGGAUGAAAGCAGGGGAUCGCAAGACCUUGUGCUACUAGAGCGGCCGAUGGCAGAUUAGGUAGUUGGUGGGAUAAAAGCUUACCAAGCCGACGAUCUGUAGCUGGUCUGAGAGGACGAUUAGCCACACUGGGACUGAGACACGGCCCAGACUCCUACGGGAGGCAGCAGUGGGGAAUUUUGGACAAUGGGCGCAAGCCUGAUCCAGCAAUGCCGCGUGCAGGAUGAAGGCCUUCGGGUUGUAAACUGCUUUUGUACGGAACGAAAAGCCCUGGGUUAAUACCCUGGGGUCAUGGCGGUACCGUAAGAAUAAGCACCGGCUAACUACGUGCCAGCCGCCGCGGUAAAAC
rnacentral:rRNA from 1 species